CAACAUAAUGCUUAAUGGUUUAUGUAAGAUGGGGAAAAUGGUCGAAGCAGAGCAGAUUUUUCAAAACAUGCAGGAUUUAGGUUGUUCACCUGACGGCAUUACGUACAGGACCCUUGCUGAUGGCU
rnacentral:miRNA from 1 species